rnacentral:rRNA from 1 species
AUUGAACGCUGGCGGCAGGCUUAACACAUGCAAGUCGAACGAGUGGCGAACGGGUGAGUAACGCAUCGGAACGUACCGAGUAACGGGGGAUAACUGUCCGAAAGGACAGCUAAUACCGCAUAUUAUUCGAGCGGCCGAUGUCUGAUUAGCUUGUUGGCGGGGUAAAGGCCAACCAAGGCGACGAUCAGUAGCGGGUCUGAGAGGAUGAUCAGAAACCGUGGGAAUGAGACACAGGCCAGAAGCCAACGGGAGGCAGGAGUGGGAAAAUUUGGAGAAAGAGCAAAAGCCUGAACAAGCCAAGCCGAGUGUCUGAAGAGGGCCUUCGGGUUGUAAAGGACUUUUGUCAGGGAAGCGGUACCUGAAGAAGAAGCACCGGCUAACUACGUGCAAGCAGCGGGGGUAAUA